rnacentral:sRNA from 1 species
GAGGGUAAUACAUAGGGAGAGGGAGGCAGGAGAGAUACACAAAAUAAGAGAUGCUUGAAACAGUCAUAGGAAAUAUUGUUUUAUAUUAUUACUUAAAAUAGAUAUAUUACGUAUGUUUGUGUAUGGAGUUUAUAUUGAGUUAUGAUACAUGUGAUAAUAAUGAUUCUGUGAAAAACAUCACUGUGCUGUUGAUCAGAGGAGGGACCCAAGAGGCUCCCCAAACAAUUUACGCUAUUACCAUUGUCCUUGGUUGUUUACCAGAGCAUGAAGGAAAGAUCCUAUUGUGAAGACACUACUGCUUUCGACACAGGACUUGGAGGACUCAAACUGAAAUUGAUCUGGAAGUCUUCUCCUUGAAGAUGAACCUCCUGGUAUUGAAAGGAGGUGUUUGUAGCUCUCAGCCCUCAUCGAAGGAGAAUCUUUUUGUAGCAGAUGGAGACUAUUGUUGAAGUUUACAAUUCACCGAACUGUAGAGAAUAAAUGACUGGGAGGGAAAGUCCAUCAUGGUGAAGGAGGCAUGGCAGCAGUAUUUAACCUUGGGUGGAAAGAAGAGAGAGCAAGCAAUCUGGAAGUGAGACAAGGCUAUAAACUAUCAAAGACUAUAUUCACUGUUGUCCUUUACAAGGAUCUGUGUGCCAAAGACACCAAACUGCCCGAACAGCAUCUUCACCUGGGAGCCACGUGUUCAAAUACCUGAGCCUCUGUGGACAAUUAUUACAGCAUCACU